UCCAAGAGAGACUGAGGUAUAUACGCUU
rnacentral:sRNA from 1 species